AACGAACGCUGGCGGCAGGCCUAACACAUGCAAGUCGAACGCUCCGCAAGGGGAGUGGCAGACGGGUGAGUAACGCGUGGGAACAUACCCUUCGGUUCGGAAUAACUCAGGGAAACUUGAGCUAAUACCGGAUACGUCCGCAAGGAGAAAGAUUUAUUGCCGAAGGAUUGGCCCGCGUCUGAUUAGCUUGUUGGUGAGGUAAUGGCUCACCAAGGCGACGAUCAGUAGCUGGCUGAGAGGAUGAUCAGCCACAUUGGGACUGAGACACGGCCCAAACUCCUACGGGAGGCAGCAGUGGGGAAUAUUGGACAAUGGGCGCAAGCCUGAUCCAGCCAUGCCGCGUGAGUGAUGAAGGCCUUAGGGUUGUAAAGCUCUUUUACCUGGGAAGAUAAUGACGGUACCAGGAGAAUAAGCCCCGGCUAACUUCGU
rnacentral:rRNA from 1 species